rnacentral:sRNA from 1 species
GCCAGGCGUGGUGGCUCCUACCUAUAAUUCCAGGUACUCAGAAGGCUGAGGCAGGAGAAUCACUUGAACCCAGGAGUUUGAGGCCAGCCUGGGCAAUGUGCAAGACCCUGUCUUCU